GACGAACGCUGGCGGCGUGCUUAACACAUGCAAGUCGAACGGAAAGGCCCUGCUUUUGUGGGGUGCUCGAGUGGCGAACGGGUGAGUAACACGUGAGUAACCUGCCCUUGACUUUGGGAUAACUUCAGAAAACUGGGGCUAAUACCGGAUAGGAGCUCCUGCUGCAUGGUGGGGGUUGGAAAGUUUCGGCGGUUGGGGAUGGACUCGCGGCUUAUCAGCUUGUUGGUGGGGUAGUGGCUUUCCAAGGCUUUGACGGGUAGCCGGCCUGAGAGGGUGACCGGCCACAUUGGGACUGAGAUACGGCCCAGACUCCUACGGGAGGCAGCAGUGGGGAAUAUUGCACAAUGGGCGGAAGCCUGAUGCAGCAACGCCGCGUGCGGGAUGACGGCCUUCGGGUUGUAAACCGCUUUCGCCUGUGACGAAGCGUGAGUGACGGUAAUGGGUAAAGAAGCACCGGCUAACUACGUG
rnacentral:rRNA from 1 species